AGAGUUUGAUCCUGGCUCAGGAUGAACGCUGACAGAAUGCUUAACACAUGCAAGUCAUUGGCGAAGCUGCGCUUGCGCAGUCUAGCCAAGGCGGACGGGUGAGUAACGCGUAAGGAACUUGCCCUGCAGACAGGGAUAACAGACGGAAACGACUGAUAACACCUGGUGUUGUCAGGCUGGCGCAUGCCGGACUGAUGAAAGGAGACGCUGCAGGAGAGCCUUGCGUCCUAUUAGCUAGUUGGUGGGGUAACGGCCCACCAAGGCGAUGAUAGGUAGCCGGCCUGAGAGGGUGAACGGCCACAAGGGGACUGAGAUACGGCCCUUACUCCUACGGGAGGCAGCAGUGGGGAAUAUUGGACAAUGGGGGCAACCCUGAUCCAGCAAUUCUGUGUGCACGAAGAAGGUUUUCGGAUUGUAAAGUGCUUUCAGCAGGGAAGAAGAAAGUGACGGUACCUGCAGAAGAAGCGACGGCUAAAUACGUGCCAGCAGCCGCGGU
rnacentral:rRNA from 1 species